rnacentral:rRNA from 1 species
AUGGCGAGCCUCACCUUGCCGCCGGCGCCCCCGAACCCCCGCCAGGACGCCAUCGACCUCCACAAGGCCUUCAAAGGGUUUGGCUGUGAUAGUACAACAGUUUCAAAUAUACUUGCUCACCGUGACUCAAUGCAACGUGGAUACAUUCAACAGGAAUACAAAACUAUGUAUUCUGAGGAACUUUCACGUCGUAUAUCGUCUGAACUCAGUGGAAACCACAAGAAAGCAAUGUCGCUCUGGAUUCUUGAUCCUGCUGGACGUGAUGCGACUGUUCUGAAAGAAGCUCUAAGUGCUGAAAGUCUUGAUCUGAAAGCAGCUACUGAUAUAAUAUGUUCCAGGACACCAUCACAGCUGCAAAUAAUGAAACAGACAUAUUAUGCAAAGUUUGGUACUUAUCUUGAGCAUGACAUUAGUCAGCAAGCAUCCGGCGAUCAUCAGAAGAUCUUACUAGCCUAUGUUGGCAUUCCACGCUACGAAGGCCCGGAGGUUGAUCCCACUAUAGUGACACAUGAUGCGAAGGACCUCUACAAAGCUGGUGAGAAAAAGCUGGGCACAGAUGAGAAAACCUUCAUCCGCAUCUUCACUGAACGCAGCUGGGCACACAUGGCAGCUGUUGCUUCUGCUUACCAUCACAUGUAUGAUCGGUCGUUACAGAAGGUUGUGAAGAAUGAAACAUCUGGAAACUUUGAAGUUGCUCUGUUAACUAUCCUCAGAUGUGCUGAGAAUCCAGCGAAGUAUUUUGCUAAGGUGUUGAGGAAGUCCAUGAAAGGUCUAGGUACUGAUGACAAGACACUUGUAAGGGUUGUGGUAACAAGGACUGAGAUUGAUAUGCAGUAUAUCAAGGCAGAAUAUUACAAGAAAUACAAAAAGCCUUUAGCUGAUGCUAUCCAUUCCGAAACAUCAGGCGGUUAUCGGACAUUCCUGCUUUCUCUUGUUGGUAGCCAUUAG